rnacentral:rRNA from 1 species
CUCGUAGGCGGCCAACUCAGUCGGACGUGAAAUCCCUCGGCUUAACCGGGGAACUGCGUCCGAUACUGGAUGGCUUGAGUGUGGGAGAGGGAUGCGGAAUUCCAGGUGUAGCGGUGAAAUGCGUAGAUAUCUGGAGGAACACCGGUGGCGAAGGCGGCAUCCUGGACCACGACUGACGCUGAGUGAGCGAAAGCCAGGGGAGCAAACGGGAUUAGAUACCCCGGUAGUCCUGGCCCUAAACGAUGAAUGCUUGGUGUGGCGGGUAUCGAUCCCUGCCGUGCCGAAGCUAACGCAUUAAGCAUUCCGCCUGGGGAGUACGGUCGCAAGGCUGAA